rnacentral:rRNA from 1 species
GACGAACGCUGGCGGCGUGCUUAACACAUGCAAGUCGAACGGAAAGGCCCUGCUUUUGUGGGUUGCUCGAGUGGCGAACGGGUGAGUAACACGCGAGUAACCUGCCCUUGUCUUUGGGAUAACUUCACGAAACUGGGGCUAAUACCGGAUAGGAUCUCCUGCUGCAUGGUGGUGGUUGGUAAGUUUCGGCGGUUGGGGCUGUACUCGCGGCUUAUCAGCUUGUUUGGGGGGUAGUUGCUUACCAAGGCUUUGACGGGUAGCCGGCCUGGGAGGGUGACCGGCCACAUGGGGACUGAGAUACGGACCAGAAUCCUACGGUAGGCAGCAGUGGGGAAUAUUGCACAGUGGGCGGAAGCCUGAGGCAGCAGCGCCGCGUGCGGGAUGAAGGCCUUCGGGUUGUAAACCGCUUUCGCCUGUGACGUGGCGUGAGUGACGGUAAUGGGUAAAGAAGCACCGGCUAACUACGUG